rnacentral:rRNA from 1 species
GACGAACGCUGGCGGCGUGCUUAACACAUGCAAGUCGAACGGAAAGGCCCCUUUUGGGGUACUCGAGUGGCGAACGGGUGGGUAACACGUGCGUAACCUGCCCUUCACUUCGGGUUAACUUCAGGAAACUGGGGCUAAUACCGGAUAGGAAUCCUUGCUUCCUGGUGGGUGUUGGAAAGCUUCGGCGGUUUUGGAUGGACUCGCGGCUUAUCAGCUUGUUGGUGGGGUAGUGGCUUACCAAGGCUUUGACGGGUAGCCGGCCUGAGAGGGCGACCGGCCACAUUGGGACUGAGAUACGGCCCAGACUCCUACGGGAGGCAGCAGUGGGGAAUAUUGCACAAUGGGCGGAAGCCUGAUGCAGCAACGCCGCGUGCGGGAUGACGGCCUUCGGGUUGUAAACCGCUUUCAGCAGGGGCGAAGCUUGUGGUGACGGUACCGGUAGAAGAAGCACCGGCUAACUACGU